UCCUGCCCGCCCUCCGGCCGCGGAGCUGGAAACGGGGCUCCGCGCGUCCGGGGCGGCUGGCGGCGCGGGCAGGCAGGCGGGGAGGACAGGCUGGGGGCGGCGACCGCGAGGGGCCGCGCGCGGAGGGCGCCUGGUGCAGCAUGGGCGGCCCGCGGGCUUGGGCGCUGCUCUGCCUCGGGCUCCUGCUCCCGGGAGGCGGCGCUGCGUGGAGCAUCGGGGCAGCUCCGUUCUCCGGACGCAGGAACUGGUGCUCCUAUGUGGUGACCCGCACCAUCUCAUGCCAUGUGCAGAAUGGCACCUACCUUCAACGAGUGCUGCAGAACUGCCCCUGGCCCAUGAGCUGUCCGGGGAGCAGCUACAGAACUGUGGUGAGACCCACAUACAAGGUGAUGUACAAGAUAGUGACCGCCCGUGAGUGGAGGUGCUGCCCUGGGCACUCAGGAGUGAGCUGCGAGGAAGUUGCAGGUUCCUCUGCCUCCUUGGAGCCCAUGUGGUCGGGCAGUACCAUGCGGCGGAUGGCGAUUCGGCCCACAGCCUUCUCAGGUUGUCUCAACUGCAGCAAAGUGUCAGAGCUGACAGAGCGGCUGAAGGUGCUGGAGGCCAAGAUGGCCAUGCUGACUGUCAUAGAGCAGCCAGUACCUCCAACACCAGCUACCCCUGAGGACCCUGCCCCGCUCUGGGGCCCCCCUCCUGCCCAGGGCAACCCCGGAGAUGGAGGCCUCCAGGGGCUGCCAGGAGCCAUAGAGAGUGUGAGGGUCCCGCUGCUUCCCCGAAAUGACCAAGUCGGUGCUUGGGGGCUUCCCGGGCCCACCGGCCCCAAGGGAGAUGCCGGCAGUCGGGGCCCAAUGGGGAUGAGAGGCCCACCAGGUCCACAGGGCCCCCCAGGGAGCCCUGGCCGGGCUGGAGCUGUGGGCACCCCUGGAGAGAGGGGACCUCCUGGGCCACCAGGGCCUCCUGGCCCCCCUGGGCCCCCAGCACCUGUUGGGCCACCCCAUGCCCGGAUCUCCCAGCAUGGAGACCCAUUGCUGUCCAACACCUUCACUGAGACCAACAACCACUGGCCCCAGGGACCCACUGGGCCUCCAGGCCCUCCAGGGCCCAUGGGUCCCCCUGGGCCUCCUGGCCCCACAGGUGUCCCUGGGAGUCCUGGUCACAUAGGACCCCCAGGCCCCACUGGACCCAAAGGAAUCUCUGGCCACCCAGGAGAGAAGGGCGAGAGAGGACUGCGUGGGGAGCCUGGCCCCCAAGGCUCUGCUGGGCAGCGGGGGGAACCUGGCCCUAAGGGAGACCCUGGUGAGAAGAGCCACUGGGGGGAGGGGUUGCACCAGCUACGCGAGGCUUUGAAGAUUUUAGCUGAGAGGGUUUUAAUCUUGGAAACAAUGAUUGGGCUCUAUGGCUCCUAGCUUACAGAGCUUCCUGCAGCAGCAGGCUCAGCUGGAGCUCCUGGCCAGACGGGUCACCCUCCUGGAAGCCAUCAUCUGGCCAGAACCAGAGCUGGGGUCUGGGGCGGGCCCUGCCGGCACAGGCACCCCCAGCCUCCUUCGGGGCAAGAGGGGCGGACAUACAACCAACUACCGGAUCGUGGCCCCCAGGAGCCGGGACGAGAGAGGCUGAGGGUGGUGGCGGCCCCUGAGGCAGACCAGGCCAGGCUUCCCCUCCUACCUGGACUCGGCCAGCUGCCUCCAGGGACCGCCCGUCCAUAUUUAUUAAUGUCCUCAGGGUCCCUUCUGCCAUCUAGGCCUUAGGGGUAAGCAGGUCUCAGUCCUGGCACUAUGCACAUGUCUGAGGCUGAGCAAGGGCUGAGAGGAGAGGCUUGGGCCUCAGUUUCCCUCUGUGAAGUGGGGGGAGGCAGGCCUUCAAGGAGGGAUAGAGGUACAAGGCUUCGUCUCAUCUGCUGUCUGAGCAUCCAGGCCCAAAGGCACUGAGGGAGUCAGGAGCUGGGGCUCGGCACAUGCAGAGAUGACAGGGCAGGGGGCAGUCUUCCUCCCCCUCCCCGACCAAACCUCGGGGAGCCCUCCUGUGCCCCUCCCUCCUUGUUGUCCAGUGCUGGGUUCCCCACCCCAAGGUCAGGCUGCCCAAUCCUCUGACUGGAUCACCUGGGGCUUCUUGCCUCAGUUCUUCCCUCUGAGCCCCCAGGCCCUCCCGCAUCUCAGGUUGGGGAUGGGGACGUGGAGAGGAAGGGGCCACCUACUCCUGCAAAUGCUUGUGACAGAUGCCAGGAGGUAGAUGUGUGCUGGCCAAUAAAGGCCCCUACCUGAUUCCCCGCA